CCUACGGGAGGCAGCAGUAGGGAAUCUUCCACAAUGGACGAAAGCCUGAUGCAGCAACGCCGCGUGAGUGAAGAAGGGUUUCGGCUUGUAAAGCUCUGUUGGUAGUGAAGAAAGAUAGAGGUAGUAACUGGCCUUUAUUUGACCGUAAUUACUUAGACCGUCACGGCUAAUUACGUGCCAGCAGCCGCGGUAGUACGUAGGUGGGUAGCGUUGUCCGGAUUUAUUGGGCGUAAAGCGAGUGCAGGCGGCUCAAUAAGUCUGAUGUGAAAGCCUUCGGCUCAACCGGGGAAUUGCAUCGGGAACUGUUGAGCGUGAGUGCAGAAGAGGAAGGUGGAACUCCAUGUGUAGCGGUGGAAUGCGUAGAUAUAAGGAAGAACACCAGUGGCGAAGGCGGCUCUCUGGACUGCAACUGACGCUGAGGCUCGAAAGCAUGGGUAGCGAACAGGAUUAGAUACCCGAGUAGUC
rnacentral:rRNA from 1 species